AGAGUUUGAUCCUGGCUCAGAACGAACGCUGGCGGCGUGGAUAAGACAUGCAAGUCGGACGAGAUUUUCCGUUGUAGCAAUACGAUGGAAAGUCUAGUGGCGAACGGGUGCUUAACACGUGGGCAACCUGCCAAGAAGUGGGGGAUAGCUCGCCGAAAGGCGAAUUAAUACCGCAUGUGAUCAGAGAGGACAUCCUUUCGAAAUUAAAGUCGGGGCAACCUGACGCUUUUUGUGGGGCCCGCGGCCUAUCAGCUAGUUGGUGAGGUAACGGCCCACCAAGGCUUUGACGGGUAGCUGGUCUGAGAGGACGACCAGCCACACUGGGACUGAGACACGGCCCAGACACCUACGGGUGGCAGCAGUCGAGAAUUUUUGACAAUGGGGGAAACCCUGAUCGAGCGACGCCGCGUGGAGGAUGAAGGUCUUCGGAUUGUAAACUCCUGUCAUUGGGGAACAAUGCGUGACGGUUAACUGCCGUCGCGUUGAUAGUACCCGAAGAGGAAGAGACGGCUAACUCUGUGCCAGCAGCCGCGGUAAUACAGAGGUCUCAAGCGUUGUUCGGAUUCAUUGGGCGUAAAGGGUGCGUAGGCGGCGCGGUAAGUCGGGUGUGAAAUCUCGGAGCUUAACUCCGAAACUGCAUUCGAUACUGCCGUGCUUGAGGACUGGAGAGGAGACUGGAAUUUACGGUGUAGCGGUGAAAUGCGUAGAUAUCGUAAGGAAGACCAGUGGCGAAGGCGGGUCUCUGGACAGUUCCUGACGCUGAGGCACGAAGGCCAGGGGAGCAAACGGGAUUAGAUACCCCGGUAGUCCUGGCAGUAAACGGUGCACGUUUGGUGUGGGAGGAUUCGACCCCUUCUGCGCCGGAGCUAACGCGUUAAACGUGCCGCCUGGGGAGUACGGUCGCAAGAUUAAAACUCAAAGAAAUUGACGGGGGCCCGCACAGCGGUGGAGUAUGUGGCUCAAUUCGAUGCACGCGAAGAACCUUACCAGGCCUUGACAUGCAUUGCUAAGUUUGGUGAAAACCA
rnacentral:rRNA from 1 species